rnacentral:lncRNA from 1 species
UAGUUCAUCUUCCAGAAUCUUUGAUCCAGGAGGUCCUCUCGACUGCGAGUCUUGAGGGUCUUCGGGUGGAACGGAGGUAGGGACUCUCCGGGGGUGGAAUCAUGAUCGGAUGGUGGGCUCUUCGCCUUCUGCUUCUCCUUUCCAGGGAAGACGGGGCGACUUGCCCAAGUGGCCCGCUCGAUCGCUGGAUUCUGGAACUC